CUGCUGCCUCCCGUAGGAGUUUGGUCCGUGUCUCAGUACCAAUGUGGGGGACCUUCCUCUCAGAACCCCUAUCCAUCGUCGGUUUGGUGGGCCGUUACCCCGCCAACUGCCUAAUGGAACGCAUGCCUAUCUAUCAGCGAUGAAUCUUUAGCAAAUAUCCCCAUGCGGGGCCCCUGCUUCAUGCGGUAUUAGUCCGACUUUCGCCGGGUUAUCCCCCUCCUGAUAGGCAAGUUGCAUACGCGUUACUCACCCGUGCGCCCGG
rnacentral:rRNA from 1 species